GAUGAACGCUGGCGGCGUGCCUAAUACAUGCAAGUCGAGCGAACGGACGAGAAGCUUGCUUUUCUGAUGUUAGCGGCGGACGGGUGAGUAACACGUGGAUAACCUACCUAUAAGACUGGGAUAACUUCGGGAAACCGGAGCUAAUACCGGAUAAUAUUUUGAACCGCAUGGUUCAAAAGUGAAAGACGGUCUUGCUGUCACUUAUAGAUGGAUCCGCGCUGCAUUAGCUAGUUGGUAAGGUAACGGCUUACCAAGGCAACGAUGCAUAGCCGACCUGAGAGGGUGACCGGCCACACUGGAACUGAGACACGGUCCAGACUCCUACGGGAGGCAGCAGUAGGGAAUCUUCCACAAUGGGCGAAAGCCUGACGGAGCAACGCCGCGUGAGUGAUGAAGGUCUUCGGAUCGUAAAACUCUGUUAUUAGGGAAGAACAUAUGUGGAAGUAACUGUGCACAUCUUGACGGUACCUAAUCAGAAAGCCACGGCUAACUACGUG
rnacentral:rRNA from 1 species